CAUUUGAUAUCUUAAUAAAAGAAUUGAUUUUUUAAAUCAAAUUAUAAUAAAUUAAAUUUAUUUCAAAUGA
rnacentral:tRNA from 1 species